rnacentral:rRNA from 1 species
CGUGUAGGCGGGGAUGCAAGUCUGAUGUGAAAGCCCCGGGCUUAACCUGGGAAGUGCAUUGGAAACUGCAUUUCUUGAGUACUGGAGAGGAAGGGGGAAUUCCCGGUGUAGAGGUGAAAUUCGUAGAGAUCGGGAGGAAUACCAGUGGCGUAGGCGCCCUUCUGGACGGUUACUGACGCUGAGACGCGAAAGCGUGGGGAGCAAACAGGAUUAGAUACCCUGGUAGUCCACGCUGUAAACGAUGAUCACUAGGUGUAGCGGGUACUCAUUCCUGCUGUGCCGCAGCUAACGCGUUAAGUGAUCCGCCUGGGGAUUACGGUCGCAAGACUAAAA